rnacentral:lncRNA from 1 species
CAAGAAAUCCAGUAACAAAAAUGAAGUACAUGAAGCCGAAUAUGGCGGGUACCCUGGUGAUGGCGAUGGAUACCCUGGCGGCGGCCGUGGUGGUGUUGGUGGCGGAUACCCUGGCGGUGGCCAUGGUGGCGGUGGUGGUGGCCGUGGUGGUGGUGGAUACCCUGGCCAUGGUGGUGGUGGUGGAUACCCUGUCGGUGGUAGUAAAUACUCAGGCAACCGUGGUGGUGGCGGCCGGAAGUGUUGCUCCUAGAUACAAAGGUGAAUAAAUAGUAAUAUAUACUUAUAUCACCUUGUACUAAUUAGUGGCAAGAUGUAGUAGUNNNNN